rnacentral:lncRNA from 1 species
GUUGCGGGUUGAGAGGAAGGUGAUGAAGUCUGUGGGUUUGUGAUGGUAAUUUGAGAGAGUUAUUGGUUGUGACUGAAAUCCUAUUGAAGGUGGUUUGGUGGUAGCUAUAUGGUUAAGGUUUGUUGGUGGUGAUGAGGAACUGGUGGUCUCGGGUAGAGACUGAUUUGGUGGUUUGUAAGGGAGAACGAUGGGUUUUGGGCACGAAAGAGAUUGAAUGGGAGAGGGGUAAACAGGGGACCAUGUUUGUGGGUUGUUGGUCAAUGAUGGAUGGUUUUUGGAGUGGCUAGAAGAAAAGAGAGGGGUUGUAGUGGUUCGACUAGGACUGUGUGGUGGCUGAUUUUGGGUAUGGUUGAAAGGCUGCUAUGAUGAGUAGUUUCAUUUUUUAGAGUGAUUGAUGCUGAGGGUGAGGGCUGCUACUAGAAGAGAUGGAGGACAAGUUUUGGAUAUAGCAAGAGGGUUAUGAAGAUGACUUGAUGGCUAGUUGGUAAGGGACAUGAUAGGUAAUUGGGUCUAUUAUAAUGGUUAUAGCAGUGGGAAAGCGUUCUGUGUGGACGUGGUGGUCAAUGGUCGAACUUGUCAAGUGUUAGGCCACGUCGAUUAUGUGAGGAGCAUUAAGCCAAAUCCCACAUAUUUGGAUGAGCAGAGGACGUGCGGGACCAUUGCAUGAGCAUGCAUGCAUGCAACGUGGGAAAGGGAUGGACUGGGUCGUGGAGGUUAACGUGCAGAAGUGCAGCAAGAAAUGGUCUUCAAUCAUUGCGAGUUUUACGUCAUUUUAUUUCCGUUAUGAUUGUUCUGUUUUUCACUUUGUUAAUUCUCUGUUUUAUGUGGGUUGAGUCCAUUUGAUUACUGUUAAUUUUCCUUGUAAUUCGACUUAUUUGUUUGUUUGGAUGGGGCUUACUUAUUUAAGCAGCCAAUGCUUUCGUUAAAAUAUAAGAAAAAUUUGCAUUCAACUUGUGAUGCAUUUCUCACCCAAAGAGAAAAUAAACUUUAUUAGCACUUUACACUUUGCAUUUGGGACCUAUCAUUGGUAUCAAAGCCUGGUUGUCAAAGGGGAACUAACAAGGAGCGUAUUGAGCACUUGAAGUCUGAACUUAGUGUAGUUCAGGAAGGACUGCUGCAAAUGGAGGAAACACUCAAUCGACUUUCGACUAUGUUGAUCACAAAUCAAGAGACUCCUAACCACGGCAACCAUCAAGGCAACGAUGGGGGUCAGCAAAUCGUCUCUGCCAAAACAACGAAGCUAGAAUUCCCACGAUUUAUGGGGGAUGACCCAACCGAAUGGUUCAACCGUGUGCAUCAAUUUUUCGAAUACCAAGGCACGGCAGAAGCCCAGAAGGUUUCCAUGGCAGCAUACCAUUUAGAAGGGGAGGCUAACCAAUGGUGGCAAUGGAUUCGUAGGACAUUUAGGUACGAAGGACACGUGCUUUCAUGGGAGAAAUUCAAGGAAGAACUCUAGGCUCGCUUCGGACCCUCGGAGUGUGAGGACUUCGACAAAGCUCUUUCUCGUGUCAAACAGCUAGGAAAUUUGCAAGACUACCAGUGCGAGUUUGAAAAGCUCGGCAACAGGGUCCAAGGAUGGACUUAGAAGGCAUUGGUGAGAACAUUCAUAGGCGGGUUGAAGGCAGAAAUAGCGGAUGGUAUUCGAAUGUUUAAGCCAUAGUCACUCAAAGAGGCCAUUACCUUAGCACGGAUGAGGGACGACCAACUCGCACGACAAAGGAGGUUCAUGCAGCUACUAUCUGAACGAGCUCCGUUUGCUCUUCCAUAAACCACUCGUGAGCCUGCUACACUUGCGGGACCCAUCAAACGCUUGUUUUGGGAAGAAAUGCAGAGGAAAAGAGUAUAAGGCCUCUGUUUCAGCUGCAAUUAGCGUUUUACAACAGGCCAUAGAUGUCAAAAGCCGCAGCUGUUACUCUUAGAGGGUCAUACAUGUAACAUGAUGUGUGAGGACAUUAUGGAUCAACAGAUGCUAGAAGAUGGCCAUGAGGGAGAUACAUUAGUGGUGUAGGAACCUAAACUUGAACCGAAAAUAACCUUGCAUGCUUUAACGGGCUGGACAGCAUCGAAAACCAUACGUGUAUCGGUAAAAAUAGGGUCACACAAAGUAAUGGUUUUAAUUGACAGCGGAUCGACACACAACUUCAUCAGCAAUCGCUUAGCAAGUAUGCUCAGGUUGCCAGUCAUACCAACAAAAUCAUUCCAUAUCCGGGUGGCUAACAUGGAGGGAUUAACAUGUCAGGGGCGUUACGAUAAGGUAUGGGUAGAGUUACAAGGCACCGAAUUUUACCUCACCCUUUUCUCUUUGACCUUAACAGGUCUUGAUCUUGUCUUGGGCAUUCAAUGGUUUAAAAUGCUGGGAUCUAUGGUAUGUAACUGAAAACAGUUGGCCAUGGAUUUUAUUUGGGAAAAUCAAGACCGUAGGCUACAAGGAGUGGAUGUGCAAACCAUUCAGGCAGUUUCACCAACAGAAAUAGCGAAGGAGUUUAGUCGUGGACAUGCGCUCUUUGCUGUGUAUUUCCAAUCAACCAUGGAAACCGCACCACCUGAAUUACCAACUCAAGAUGAAAAAUAGAAUAUGCACUUGUUGUUGAAGGAAUAUGCAGACGUGUUCCAAGAGCCAUCAAGAUUACCACUUGCACGUGAGGUGGAUCAUUGUAUUACGUAAAAGAAGGAAGCCUAUUAAUGUACGCUCGUAUAAGUAUGCCCACUUCCAGAAAACUAAAAUCGAGAAAUAGGUCCAGGAAAUGCUAGACUCGGGACUCAUCCGUCCUAGCACCAGUCCAUUCUUGUCGCCGGUGCUACUGGUAAAGAAGAAAGAUGGCAGUUUGUGAUUUUGUACAGAUUACCGUUCACUCAAUGUCGUUACCGUCAAACAUCGUUUUCCCAUUCCAACAGUUGAUGAUAUGUUGGAAGAAUUAUAUGGUGCCGCUUACUUCACCAAAUUAGAUCCGAUGUUAUUAAAAUUGUUUUUCGUACUCAUAACAGCCAUUACGAAUAUCUCGUAAUGUCUUGUGGCUUGUGUAACGCACCCUCGACAUUCCAAGCCAUCAUGAACUCAAUAUUUUAACCUAACCUUUGAAAGUUUAUUUUGGUCUUUUUUUAUGAUAUUUUGGUCUAUAGUUCUACUUGAAAUGAGCAUCUAUUGCAUGUUAGACAAACAUUGGAAACUUUAUGACAACACCAAUUCUUUGCCAAGGCCAGCAAGUGCAUGUUUGGCCAAUAGGAACUGGAAUACUUGGGGCACAUUGACACACAUCAGAGAGUGAAGGUUGAUAACAAUAAAAUUGCAGCCAUGGUUAUAUGGCCACCCCUCACUAAUAUUUCUGAGUUAUAUGGUUUUUUAGGCCUAACAGGAUAUUACAGGAAAUUCAUUCAAAACUACAGCAUCAUAGCAAGACCCCUGAACAAUCUGCUUAAGAAGGGAAAAUUUGGUUGGAAUGAAGAAGCCAACACAGCCUUUCUAGCUCUCAAAUAAGCAAUGACAACUACGCCUACAUUUGCUACGCCUGAUUUCAAUGACUUUUUCACCAUUGAAACCGAUGCAUAUGGGGACAGAAUUGGCGCAGUUUUGUCACAACAAGGUAAGCCGAUAACGUUUAUGAGUUGAGCAUUGGGGGUUACAAAAAAAUCCUGGUCUACUUACGCCAAUGAGAUGUUGGCCAUUGUGGAGGCCAUACGUUUAUGGCGUCCUUAUCUCUUGGGAAAAAAAUUCUUCAUUCUUACUGACCAUUGUAGUUUGAAAUAUUUAUUGGAACAACGUGUGGCUAUGCCUGAACAACAGAAAUGGGUGAUCAAGCUUCUGGGCUACGAUUAUGAGAUUAUUUAUCGUCUAGGCCAUGAGAAUUCAACAACGGACGCUCUCUCACGCAGGUCUGGUAGUCCAGUUCUUCACCAUUUGCAUAUGCCAAUAGUGACCAUAUGGGAUGAAAUUCAAAAGGCUUAUGUGAGAGACUCUUACAUCCAAUCUCUAACUUGUUUGUCCAAGGAUCAACAAGCUGGACCGUAUGCAUGGCGUAAUGGGUUGCAGUUCUUUAAAGGAAGAGUAAUCAUUCCUUCUCAGGCAGCAUUAUGAUCACAAUUACUUCAUGAAAUGCACGAUACAAAAAUUAAAGGACACUCUAGGGUCUUCCGAACGUUCAAGAAAUUAGCUUAACAUUUUAUUGGCCUAAAAUGUACCAGGCGGUGCAAAAGUAUGUCAAAAAAUGUGAUAUUUGCCAGAGGGUGAAGUUUGAAACAUUGUCUCCAGCGAGGCUCCUGCAACCGUUACUAGUUCCAUGUCAAGUCUAGGACGACAUCACCUUAGACUUCAUUGAAGACCUACCGACAUCCCAAGGCAAAGACACAAUCUUAGAAGUUAUUGACCGUUUGAGUAAGUCUGCUCCUUUUCUAUCCUUAACUCAUCAUUUUACUGCUAAAGUCGUUGCAUAACGGUUUGUAGAAGGCAUCAUUAAAUUGCGUGGCUUACCCAAGUUUAUCGUCAGCGAUCGGAACCCCAUCUUUAUCAGCAAAUUCUGGCAAGAGUUUUUUCACAUGUCCGGCACCAAACUACAACUCAGUUCCACCUAUCAUCCGCAGACGGACGGACAAAUAGAAGUUGUUAAUCGCUGUGUUGAGCAAUACCUCCGGAGUAUUGGAGCAACUACCUUCUAUGGGCUGAGUUCUAGUACAAUAUAACUUAUCAUGCGUCCAUUGGGAUGACCCCUUUUUAAGCACUAUAUUGGACGCUUACCUCCUGCAUUUCCCAUUUACCAUAAUGGGUGUUCUUUCGUUCAGGAAGUAGACCACAGUCUAGAGGUUCGCGACAAGCUGUUGCGUCAACUCAAACGCAAUCUGGAGACUUUCAUUAAUCGCAUGAAGCAAAUUGCAAAUAAAAAAUGUCGGGAUGUUUCUUUCAAAAUUGGGGAUUUGGUGUUUCUGAAGCUGCACCCUUACAGGCAACAGUCCGCCUUCAAACGCGCCCACCAGAAGCUAGCUAAUCGCUUCUACGGCCCAUACCUAGUGAUACAAAAAAUUGGGUCCGUUGCAUACCUUCAUAUGUCGGACGGUGCCCACAUUCAUCCUGUCUUCCACGUCUCGCUCUUAAAAAAGUACGUUGGUGAGUCUGCAACACCUUCAAAAGAAUUGCCAUCCGUUACCGAUGAUGGGGUGGUUAUACUCGAACUUCAGCAUAUCCUGGACACUCGUUGGGUCAAACGAGACAAUAAAUUUAAAGAAGAAACUUUGGUACAAUGAAAGCAUCUACUAGUUGAGGAUGCCACAUGGGAGACCUAUUAGUCUUUACUUGAGCGAUUUCUUUUUGUGGACCUUGGGGACAAGCGUCCACUUAAUAGGGAGGGUAUUGUUAGGCCACGUCGAUCUAAGAUGAGCCUUAAGCCAAAUCCCAAAUAUUUGGGAUGAGCAGAGGACGUGCAGGACCAUUGCAUGAGCAUUCAUACAUGCAAUAUGGGAAAGGGAUGGACUUGGUCAUGGAGGUUAAUGUGCAGAAGUGUAGCAGGAAAUGGUCUUCCAUCGUUACGAGUUUUACGUCAUUUUAUUUCCGUUAUGAUUGUUCUAUUUUUCGCUUUAUUAAUUCUCUGUUUUAUGUGGGUUGAGUCCAUUUGGUUACUGUUAAUUUUCCUUGUAAUUCGAUUUGUUUGUUUGUUUGGACGAGACUUGCUUAUUUAAAAGCCAAUGCUUUUGUUAAAAUAAUAGAAAAAUUUACAUUCAAUUUGUGAUACAUUUCUCACCCGAAAAGAAAACAAACUUUAUUAGUACUUUACUCUUUGCGUUUCAGACCUAUCAUCAAGGGUGCUGUGUGGUGGUUUCCAUGGUUGGGGAAGAUAGUUCUAUGAAAUCGUGGGCUUACAAUGGGUGUAUUUAUUGAAAUGGUUUGUUACAAUCCCAGAAUGUCUGCAUUCUCGUUUCCCCCUUGUGUUUGUUGGAUAUCUCCCCUGUGAUUUGAGUUGAAGGAAGGAGACAAUUCCAAGAAACAAGGACACAAUGAGUUGUCGUGGGAAUGACAAUUUGGGGAGAAGGGACAAUGGAUGAAGAUUGAAUCUCUGUUGUUGUGGGAAUGACAAUUUUUUGUUUCUGUGAUUAUCAAAGGUUGAGGAAAUUCCCCCAUGUGAUUUUAGUUGAAAGAGAAGGAAGAUUUCCCCCCUAGUGUUGCUGUUGUGUUUUUAGACUUUGAAUUCCUCGCCUUCAAUAGGGAGAAAGGCUGGAAUCUGGUUGGGUUUUGAUCUUGAUUGCUAACAAUUUGGGAUUGAUUUGCAAAGAAUAAAUCAAGGUUGAUUGUUGUAAUCUUGGGAUUGAAUUGGCUGAGAAAAUCUUCCCCUUUUGGCAGUGAGAAAUCUGCCUUCUCAAUGAGAAAAAUGACUGAAGUGAAUUAUGGUCUGUAGUUAAGAAAACUGUACAUCUGGGUUUAAUUGUUGGAAUUGAUUUCUGGCUUUAAUUGCUGGGUAAUCAACUGUAAUUUAGGGCUAAAUGUCUAGAUUCUUAGACUGAAAAAAUGAACAUUGUAGUAUGAAAAUUCAGUUAGACCCUGAAAUGUUUAUACCUUUUUAUUGUAGUCCCUAGCUCUUGGAUUUUUCAAUAUUCAUUCAAUCAAGGUUUUAAUUUUAGAUUUUAUCUUCAAUUUAAUCCUUAAAUUGAAUUUAAUUGAUACUUUUAAUAUGGUCACUAUUCCAAUUUAGUCCUUCAUUUUUAAAAUUAUGCAAUUUUGCCCCUAAUUGAAUCACAUUUCUCUUUUUCAAUUGCAUUUUUAAUUGAAUCAAUUGGACAGCAUGUUAUUAAUUCGCCCUUAGUUCUUCAAUUCCUUUGGGUAGUUUUUAGGAAUAAAUUUAACCCCAUAUUUACUCUAAAACAUACGGAAAAUAUAGCAUACAAUAUGUUGAUAACCCCAAAUCAAACUCCCCGAGUGUAUGGAAAUGGGCAAGGCAAGUAUAGUUGGUGGAUACAGUUCGAAAUUAGCAAUCCUCUUGAAGAAUUCCCUAACUGGUUUCGUUAUAGAUUUUUCUACCAAGGAAUAAAUUCUAUCAGCAUACCGAGUAUAUAAGCAAGAAACAUUUGAAGCCUGUAGGCAAUCCUAUCCAGAUCUUAAUAUCUCGAAGGCAUUAUUGAAGUUUGUAUCUAAAUUUCAGAUCCCUUGAUCCUAAAAUGGGAUACCCAGCUCCUAAUAAGGAGAUUGAUAGUUCAAGAGGUAUCCCUCACAAAACCUUCGUUAACACAGAGGAUCCUCUGCAAAUGGUGGAAUAAGUUUCCUCUGCUAGCUAGCUCUGUAAAAGAAGGCAUUGGAGAAUCUCUUCUCCUGAAGCUCUUAGAGAACAGGAAGAAGAUGAUGAUGAUGAUGCAAUGCUAACAUAUCCUCUUCUCUUUUUCAAGAUAGCCGGCGACUUCCUAUUUCCUUGGUGACUUUCUAAGCAUCUUAGUAAAAAUCUUAUCAGGAGGCGACACAACUCUAGUCAUAUGCAGGAUAUGGGAACCCGUAACAUUACUUUCAUUAUUAUUUUUUUGUUUCAUAUGGAAAUUAUUAUACCUUUACUUUUUCAAAAGCUAAAGUUAUUUGUAUGGUUGUAAUAAUGAUGCAUCAGCUUUUAGAAAAUAAGAUUUUUUCUCUUUUGUUUUUUUUUUUCUUGUAAUAAUGAGUUUUCAAUUGUAAUAUAUAAAAUUUUCUAAUAAGAAAAACCUUCUCUCUAAAAGGCUAUCUCGUAUACUCUCUCUCUUUUUUAAAUUUUGUCUAUCCUUGAUUGUGGAUUUACUAUUUUCAUUACGAGAUGACAUAUCCGCGCGCUGCUACAAAUUUAUAAAAUAAAUAUACUUAAUAGUAUUAUAAUUGUAAAUCAACACUAGAUAAAUAAUAGAAACUAAAGGUAUGAUGGAGCCAAUAUUUCAUGAUGGAAAAAAAAGUUGUGUUGGUGAUCAAAAACUUAGAAACUGAAUAAAAUGAUUUGUAGCAAUCCACAGUGUUUUGUGAGGAAAGAUACAGUGCUUUCGCUACAUGAUUUAACAUUUCUGUUAAUAAAAAGCAAAAAACAUUACAAAGCAAAAUUCUCUACUAACUUAAUAUUAAAAAAAAUCGACAAAGAUAAUUUUGGAAGAAAAAAAAACUAUAAGGAAAAACGUUGUAGCAAUUGACAAUGUUUUAUGAGGAAAACUACAGUGUUUUCCCCAAUACAAUCGACAAAGACAAUUUUAGAAAGAAUCAUAAAAAAAACCAUUUAGAGAAAUAUUGUAGCAAUCUAUAGUGUUUUGUGAGGAAAACAAAAACACUUUCCCAUAUGAUUUAGUUUUAUUGUAAUUAUAAUUUUUAACCAACUCAAUAUUCAAAAAAAAAAUCGACAAAGAUAAUUUUGGAAAAAAUCAUUACAAAAAUCAUGUGGGAAAACACUGCAGCAAUUUACAGUGUUUUAAAGAAAAAAAAUAUUACAAAGCUAAAUUCUCAAUCAGCUCAAUAUUAAAAAAAUAAAAUCGACAAAGACAAUUUUAAAAAAAAAACAUAAAAAAACAGGGACAAAAAAACCAUGAUGGAAACAUUGUAGCAAUUCACAGUGUUUUUGUGAUGAAAGUUAUGAUGCUUCCCCACAUGAUCUAACCUUAUUUGUAAUGACUUAUAAUUGUAAUUCUCAACUAGUUCAAUAUUAAAAAAAAAUAAAAUUGACAAAGAUAAUUUAAAAAAAAAUCAUAAGAAAAAAAAACAUAUGUAGAGAGACACUGUAGCAAUCCACAGUAUUUUGUGAGGAAAGUUACAAUGUUUUCCCCACAUGAUUAAGCUUUAAUACAAAGUUAAAUUCUAACCACCUCAAUAUUAAAAAAAUAACAUCGACAAAGAUAAUUUUGGAAAAAAAUAUUACAAAAAAAAAACAAAAAAAAACUGGAAAAAAAACCGUGCGAGGAAAAACUGUAUCAAUCCAUAGUGUUUUAUGAGGAAAGUUACAGUGUUUUCUACACAUGAUUUAGCUUUACUUGUAUUUACUUGUAAUUGUAAUUCUUAACCAGUUUAAUAUUAAAAAAAUAAAAUUGACAAAGACAAUUUUAGAAAAAAAACAUAAAAAAACAAAAAAAAAAUUAUGUGAGAAAAAACAUUGUAGCAAUCCACAGUAAUUUGCGAGGAAAGCUACAGUGCUUCUCUCACAUAUUGUAACUGUAAUUUUUAAUCAGCUUAAUAUUAAAAAUUAAAAUCGAAAAAUAUAAUUUUGGAGAAAAUCAUAAAAAAAAAAACAAAAACAAAAAAAAAUCAUGUGGAGAAACACUGUAGCAAUCAACAAUGUUUUAAAGGAAAAAAAUUACAAAACUAAAUUCUCAAUCAGCUUAAUAUUAAAAAAAAAUCGACAAAUAUAAUUUUGGAAAAUAAAAAAAUUAAAUAGAAAAACCAUGUGAGAAAACACCGUAACAAUCCACAAUAUUUUAAAGGAAAAAAAUUACAAAGUGAAAUUUUUAACCAGCUCAAUAUUAAAAAAGUGAAAUUGACAAAGAUAAUUUUGGGAGAAAAAAAAAUGAAAACAAAAAAGAAAAAAGGGGAUAAAAAAAAGUGCAAAAAAAAAGUAAAAAAAAAACAAAAAAGUGACAAAAAAACAAAAAAAAAGUGAAAAAAAAAAGAAAAAGUGAAAAAAACUAAGUGAUAAAAUAAACUAAAAGAAAGGAUAAUAAAAAGAAAAGGCAAGAGUGAUAGUACCAACACUAUUCAAAAUCAGUAUCGUUAUCGUGAAAUAAUAAUAAACCUAAUAAAGAAAUAAAAAAUAUAUUUUUUUUGAAAUAAAAAAUGAUCCUUAGUGAAAUAAUUGAUAAGAUUUAUAUAAGAAUUAAAUUUAAAAAUUCAGAUUUUUGAUAAAAAAUCACAAAUCGACUACUUUUACACUAACAUGUAGAAUUCUCAAUCCAACUGACAGAUCAAACUUUAAUAUUACAGGGAGUCUCUUGACAUGUUGUGUUAUCUUAUUUUAAAAUUUUAGAUUGAAAAAUUAUUAAUUAGCAUAAAACCAGUCUAUAAAUGAGUUGUUUCCAAUAGCAAGAACUAUUAGAGAAGGAGAGCUUCUCUCCAUUUUUUUCCCCAAGUUUUCUUUGAAAUUCACCUAAUAAAGGUUGAUUAAGGUGUGAUAACCAAAUUUUUACCCAUUUUAUUUUAAUUUAUUUUAAAGGGUUAAAAUUUGGAAUUUAAAGAUUGAGGACUGAUUUUUUUUUAUGGAGUGUGGUUUGAUAAUGUAUAAAAGAAUCAAGGACAAAUCACCAAGAUAUUCUGCUAAUCAUUUUCAAUUUUAAAAUUUGAAAAAAAAAAAGGAUGAGUUUGUGAGACUUUGAAACUUCUGUACCAUAUGGGGGGGCGGGGGGAUACCCAUAUAAACCCUCUCCGUGAACCAGCACCACACAAUUUCCCCAUUAACGAAAAAAGAAAAAACAAGAUUAGUUCCUCUUGUAUGCUUUCAUUAAAGGCCAAUAGCAAUAGCUCUCUCUCCUCUCUCAGUGUCUCUCACACUGAUCUAGCAAUCUCCUAAACCAAUCUGACAUCAUCUCCUCCUACCCACGACAAUUCCAACGAGCAGCAACACUGUUGUCGUCAACCUUAUCCCGGUCAUGACCCAACGAUAACUACCAUUAGUUGGUUCUUUAGCAGAGAUAACCUCACAUUCUUUUCUUCUCUUUUAGACACUAGCCCACACAUGCCAACCAUCGGUAACAACCUCCCCAUCCAAAAAUUAGCAACAUAAUCUCGUAGCUCCAAAACUAUCACCGACCAACGCCUUCUCCUCCUAAACCACAAUGCAAGGCACUCUUCAUGGCAGAUCCACAAUAACCCAACAAUAACAAUCAGAAAAGAGAAGAAGAAAUUACAGUAGAGAAAGAGAGAGGCAGAUCUUAAAAAAAUAAAAAUAAAUAAAAACUACUAUCUUGUGUUGAUUUCUUUGUCUUGCAGGGAGUGGUGAUACUCACCGCCAGUAGGGAAAGGAAGAGGUGAAAGAGUCGCUUCAAAGCCACCAAUUUUUGCUCUUCAAUUAAUGACGACAUGUUGUUCCAUGCACCCACAGUGACGAUGGUGUGAGGAACCCCCAAGCUGCCAAUACUCCCUCAUGUCUAGUGCAUUCCUAUAACUUCUGACAUUUUUUUGUUCAGAAGGUGUUUUGCAAAUUUUGGAUGACUUUGUGUUUUUUUUUUUUUUUUUUUUUUGAUUUACGUGGGGUGUCCGGGCCAGCUUACGCGCACCACGACUAUUCCCCACGGCCCACUGGACAUCCUGCAAGCCCAGGAGCAGGUAAGGCACCGCGGGGGUGACAGGCGUGCACAUAAAGGGUCGAACCCGGGACGGGGGCGGAACAAGUCACACGGUUGACCACAGCAGCUAGACCCUCAAGUGCGACUUUGUGUGUUUUGAUUACAUGUAAUAUGUGUAAUCGUAAGUGUGUGAGAGUUAAUUAGUGAAAGAGAUCAGGUGUGUAUGAUGUAUGGUGCCGCACAUGGAUGUGCGGGGUCGUUUGGAGCCGGAAUCUAAUUGUUUGGUUCAAGGUUGUCAGGUAAUCUAGGUGUACUGGUCUUGUCAGAACUUCGAGGAUAACAGACUAGUUGUGGUUAAGAAAAGUAUUAACACCUCUAACGUACCCUACCUGAAGUAAGUUGCUUUGUGGUUUAGAGGUUUUGAUGGUUUUUUAGUUUUUUUGUAAUUUAGGAUUGAGAUUACUCAUAUGAAUAAAUCUGGUGUUUAAAAAUUUAUAAUAGACUCGUGUACCCAUAUAAAUUCUUAGAAAAAAAUUCUUUGUAAUUUGAGUAUUACGGUGAAAAAUACUCAAUUAAAAUUGAUGAAUAUUUAGAAUAACUAAGAAUUUUCUGUUCAACUCUGAUAUUUUAAAUACCAACCUCACUUAUAGGUCCAACAUUAUAUACUAAGAUUUUUAACCAUUAAUUCUCAUGAAUUAAAAAAUAGUGAUUUAUUGAAAUAUUGGCUAAAUUCUCAUGAAUUUAAUAAACUGAUUAUUAAAUCCUAAAAUGCAUGCAAAUAUGUAUUUUGAAUUUUUAUAUGGAAAUACUACGCAAUAUGAUUUCUUUGUAUUUUUUGAGACACUCGGCCAAAUACAAUACAAAAAAACAUUUUAUUUUAUUUUUUACUUAUAAUUUUCUUGAGAAUAAAAAAAAUUGAGGUUUAAGAGGAAUUUUUCUAAAAAAGCAAAAUCCUAAAAAGAAACUAAAAAAAAGUUGUUUUUUUUUGUUUUUUUGUUGUUUUUUCUAUGUUUUAGUGUGUGUGUGUAUUUUGUAAACCCCGGGAAAAAUCAAGGUUGGAUUAAAUAAAAAAAAAUAAACUAAACUAAAAGUUGUGAGGCAAAAAUAAUACACUGAAAGAAAAUAGGGCCUAGAUGCAAAUAAGAAUAAUUAUAGAGCAUAAAUACCCCUCUUCUUACCAAAAAAUGGGCAGCUAUCGUAAGGAAGGAAAAGAGAGAGUUUUUGUAUAAAUUUUUACAAAUCUAGAGAGAAACACCAAAAUUUCAAGAACUCAUCCAAGAUUAAGGAUUAUAGGUAGAAUAAACACUUGUGAGCAAGGGAUUAACAAGAAAAUUUGAACAAGAAGAGAAGAGGGGAGGGUCGGCUGUGAUUAGAAAGAAAAUGAGGGAGUUGAAGAUCGAAACCUUGAUUAUUACCGGUAAGGUGUUCUAAACAUGGUCUUAUGAGUAGUUUUAAAGUCGAUUAUGAAUUGAUGCUUGAAUGUUGAAUUACAAAUUAGGGUUCUUAGACUUGAAUUGAGAAAAAAGUAUUAGUUGCUAAAAUUAAAUAACUUCAUGUGUUGUGUGUAAAUGGAAAGGUUGACGAACCUGGAUAGUUUCGUCUCUUGACUUUCAGAGAGAUUUCAGGUUAGAGGAUGAAGCAAUUAAGAUCAGGUUCCUCAUAGAAAUUGUAGUUUUGGAUGUCGACUAACUAAGGAAAUUGGUCUUGCUCAGUUUGGAGUUAUAGAACUCCAAUUAUGGGUCAUCAAUCAAGAUUGAGUCAUGACAAACCCUAUAGGGCAGUAGGUCUGGUUUG